rnacentral:misc_RNA from 1 species
AACAUCGCGCACCUGCGGGAACCUGCGGAAGGAUCAUUAAAAGAGUGUGACCCCCCUUGUAAAAGAGGGGAGUAACCUCCCGUCCUUUGCUGGUCCCUUUUAGGGGCUUUCAAGGCUCUCUGCUUCGGUGGGGUAUCCCACCGGAACACCCUUAAAAAAUUCUGAUCAAAAAAUCGUUCAGUCCGAGAAUUUGAGAAUUAAAUCAAAAACUUUUAACAAUGGAUCUCAGAUCGGAAGAGC